ACAAGCAGCUCUCUAUGGCAGCACAUUUCCCUUUUCACCAAUAGAGGGAGUAGAGAGCUCUUAACAUGCUGGAGCUUCUGGCCACACACCAUACAUAUAUUUAUAGUUAAAAUCCUGUUGUGCUUGAGUGGUACUGACUUUCUGAGCAAAAAUGAAUUAUUUUAUUUUUCAGUAAUCCAGAUCUGCUUUCUUACCCUAAGCAUUGCAACCAAAUUUAAAGGAAAACCCAUGAAAUAUCUAAUUUUUGCAAUGAUUAGCAACCCAUUAGGCAGUUUGAGACACAAGAAGUACAGCUUGCCUGUGAAAAGAUGAGAAGCAGGAGACUUUCAUCAUUCUUAUAAGUUGGAACUGAUACAUCCCCUCUAAAUGAUCCUCUUCAAAUAUUUUCCUCUCAAUACCCAUUUUAAGCACCUGCUAAGGAGGAAAAAAAAGCACCAAACCAAAAAAUUACUAAAUAAAGAUUUGUGUCUGAAAUAUUUCAAUCCAAAUAAUGUUUCAUCUACAUCUCUGGUGAAAAUGCUGAUAUGGAGUGGAAGGCCAAUACCAGACACCUGCACAGGAAAAGAAAUUUGCAAAAUUAGAGGAAAGGCCAUGUUCAUGAGAAAAUUACGUGGAUGUCCAAUAACAAAGUUAACAUUCUGUAGAUACAGCACCAAGUUAGCUUGUAUAUUGUUUAUUUAACAAUCCAUCAAGAAACUUACUCACUUGCUCUCUCAGCAAGUAAAACAGAUACAUGUAGGUGUAUGAUAUUUCCGUACUAAAUGGCAAAAUAAAAGACCAAGCUACUAAUGCCUCUCCUUCCCUUCCUUGCUCAUCCAAGCAGUUGCUGAAUUCGCUGCACAA